CGGGUAGAUGGUCUUGCCGGCGAGGCCGGCACGUUUGGCGAGCGUGCUCAUGAUCAUGUGUGGGCGGACGUUCCAAAUGCCGCUGCCGAGC
rnacentral:tRNA from 1 species